rnacentral:rRNA from 1 species
AGUUUGAUCAUGGCUCAGGACGAACGCUGGCGGCGUGCUUAACACAUGCAAGUCGAACGAUGAAGCCCAGCUUACUGGGUGGAAGAGUGGCGAACGGGUGAGUAACACGUGAGUAACCUGCCCAUCACUCUGGGAUAAGCGCUGGAAACGGCGUCUAAUACUGGAUAUGAACAGCGGCCGCAUGGUCAGUUGUUGGAAAGAUUUAUUGGUGAUGGAUGGACUCGCGGCCUAUCAGCUAGUUGGUGAGGUAAUGGCUCACCAAGGCGACGACGGGUAGCCGGCCUGAGAGGGUGACCGGCCACACUGGGACUGAGACACGGCCCAGACUCCUACGGGAGGCAGCAGUGGGGAAUAUUGCACAAUGGGCGCAAGCCUGAUGCAGCAACGCCGCGUGAGGGAUGACGGCCUUCGGGUUGUAAACCUCUUUUAGUAGGGAAGAAGCGCAAGUGACGGUACCUGCAGAAAAGCACCGGCUAACUACGUG